GAUGAACGCUGGCGGCGUGCCUAAUACAUGCAAGUCGAGCGAACGGACGAGAAGCUUGCUUCUCUGAUGUUAGCGGCGGACGGGUGAGUAACACGUGGAUAACCUACCUAUAAGACUGGGAUAACUUCGGGAAACCGGAGCUAAUACCGGAUAAUAUUUUGAACCGCAUGGUUCAAAAGUGAAAGACGGUCUUGCUGUCACUUAUAGCUGGAUCCGCGCUGCAUUAGCUAGUUGGUAAGGUAACGGCUUACCAAGGCAACGAUUCAUAGCCGACCUGAGAGGGUGAUCGGCCACACUGGAACUGAGACCCGGUCCAGACUCCUACGGGAGGCAGCAGUAGGGAACCUUCCGCAAUGCGCGAAAGCCUGACCGAGCAACGCCGCGUGAGUGAUGAGGGUCUUCGGUUCGUAAAACUCUGUUAUUAGGGAAGAACAUAUGUGUAAGUAACUGUGCACAUCUUGACGGUACCUAAUCAGAAAGCCACGGCUAACUACGUG
rnacentral:rRNA from 1 species